GAGAGGACAGCACGCAAUGGCCUUCCUCCUGAGCUUCGGUUAUUACAAAAUUUGAUGAAGAUGUACUGUGUUCUUGAAUUAAGGCUACAGAUAUUGGCUCUUGAAGAGAGUGAUACCCGAGUGAAUCAGUGCUUUAACAAGAAUGCACAGAGAAGAGACUUUAUAAUGCUGCUCCAGACUCCCUGAGAAAUAAACGUGCUUCUUCUGGGCUGAACGAUAAGGGAGGAAAUGGAACACACCUAAAGAGGACAUGAACGGGAGAGGCUGGAGAUAGAAUCCCGAGGGAAAAGAGACGACCACGCAGUCUGGGGCAGAGUCAAGAGACGUGGCAGGAGUUGAGCUAACCCGUUCAGCACUGACUUGAGUACCAGCUAAGCUCCUAGAUGGUCGAAGACUCAUCAAGCAAGAUGCUUUAUCAUCCUAGGAGUACCAGUCCUCUUUGAGAUUCUAAUGAAAGCUUCAUCUGUUGAGUUUGCCAGGAGCAGAAGUGGUCAGUUAGAACAAUGAGCUAAACAGAAAGUAGCAAUCGUGCUUUUGUUCAUUUAUUGUGACAGUAAAAGUAAGAGGCAGAAAAUAAAGGCACCAACUCCCAACUGUUUCAUUUCCCCCCCACUGAAUAGUAAUGGGAGAGGGUCAGGUGACUUGCAGCAGAAACUGGAGUCAUCUUCUCACUGAACAAAGAUGCCUGCAAAGCGUCCUUAUGGACCUAAAGAGCCAGAUGAGGGACA